AUGUCAGUGAUCUGGCAAUUAGCAAGAAGGCCCAACAGACCAAGGUUUGCCAUGAAUGCAAGAGCUGGCAGUACCCUCUCCAAGUAUACACGUCCCUGUGGAAAUAAAGCAGGAAGAAGAAACAUUUGGAUUUAACAAACUUGAAAGACCAUUCCAAGAACAGCAGCUGGAUACCACCUUCAGAUAGCUCCAUCUGAAAUGAUGUGCCCAGGUGCUUACAGAAACUGCACUGGCAACUCACCCUACUAAUAGGUCAGCAUUUUUUCACCUGUAUAGAUUUGAGGUGCUGAAGGUAAGAUCAGAAGUUUAUUUCUCCUUACAAAAUAUUUUGAGGCAGAAAAAUUCCAAACCUGAUAAAAACCUGAGUGAGUUCACAUUGGGUCCCAGCAAUAAGUCAAGCUUUUGCUUUGACAAUUAUUGACUUGGAUACAGGAAG
rnacentral:lncRNA from 1 species